rnacentral:tRNA from 1 species
GGGCCCGUAGCCCAGUCAGGAUAGGGCGCCGGCCUCCGGAGCCGGAGGUCCCGGGUUCAAAUCCCGGCGGGCCCG